GGUUUCCUAGUGUAAUGGUUAUCACAGCGGAUUCUGAAAAUAUGAAUAUUCCGCUAAUCUGGGUUCGAUUCCCAGGGAGACCU
rnacentral:tRNA from 1 species